CACGUAGGGUGCGAGCGUUGUUCGGAUUUACUGGGCGUAAAGGGCGCGUAGGCGGUCAGCACAAGUCAGUUGUGAAAUCUCCGGGCUUAACUCGGAAAGGUCAACUGAUACUGUGCGACUAGAGUGCAGAAGGGGCAACUGGAAUUCUCGGUGUAGCGGUGAAAUGCGUAGAUAUCGAGAGGAACACCUGCGGCGAAGGCGGGUUGCUGGGCUGACACUGACGCUGAGGCGCGAAAGCCAGGGGAGCGAACGGG
rnacentral:rRNA from 1 species